GCUGAUGUUUGACAAAACCACCAACCGGCACCGAGGGUUCGGAUUUGUCACGUUUGAGAGUGAAGACAUCGUGGAGAAAAGUGUGUGAAAUUCAUUUCCAUGAAAUCAACAACAAAAUGGUGGAGUGUAAGAAAGCUCAGCCAAAAGAGGUGAUGUCGCCGACCGGCUCGGCCCGGGGGAGGUCUCGAGUCAUGCCCUAUGGAAUGGACGCCUUCAUGCUGGGCAUC